CCUUAUCCCCUCUCUAUCCCUUUCCUCUUCGGUGAAACCCUAGAGAGCUCCGUCUCACUUUCUUCUCUCUCUUCGCCUAAAAUGGUAAAGACACAGAGGGGUUCAGAGGCGGUGCAGUUGUGUGUGUUUGUUUGUGGAAAAAAAUUUAAUGUUCCCACUCGUUUUUAUCCAAACAAUGUCCGCAAGAUCUUGCGAAGCGAAGGACUUAAGUUCGUAUUAGCAUAGAAAGCGGGCAAGGUACAGACGUUCGUGUGAGUGACCCGACAGCUUAGGCUAUCUGUUCUGUUGCUUUGGAGUGCUCCCUCAUUCCGAAGCCCACACUUUUGGUACAGAUCUUGCUGUUGUACACAUUUAUGUAUAUAUGACUAUUUUAGGGGUACGACGGGGCCCUGUCCCGUCAUAUGGUUCUAUUUUGUUUGUUAGAGGCCUGUAGACAUAUAUGUGGGUCAUGGGUUGUUAUUGUUCGGCUAUGUCUGUGAUUUGCGUCU